GUAAUAUAUAAAAAUAAAAGCUGACUGACUGAUCUAAUCAACGCACAGUUCAAACCACAGGAUGGAUUGGGUUAUUUGGCAUGUAGAUAGGGAUUACGACAUAGACAUCCCCUAAGAAAGGAUUUUUGAAAAUUCAACCCCUAAGGGGGGGAAAAGUAGGGGUUUGAAAUUUGUGUAGUCCACGCGGACGAAGUCGCGGGCAUAAACUUUCAACCAAUAGAUAGGAGAGACGAUCAGGUGCGAUACCGGUUCCGAUUUCGACAUUUCGACACUUAACACCAACCUAUU